AAAUUGAAGAGUUUGAUCAUGGCUCAGAUUGAACGCUGGCGGCAGGCCUAACACAUGCAAGUCGAACGGUAACAGGAAGCAGCUUGCUGCUUUGCUGACGAGUGGCGGACGGGUGAGUAAUGUCUGGGAAACUGCCUGAUGGAGGGGGAUAACUACUGGAAACGGUGGCUAAUACCGCAUAACGUCGCAAGACCAAAGAGGGGGACCUUCGGGCCUCUUGCCAUCAGAUGUGCCCAGAUGGGAUUAGCUUGUUGGUGAGGUAACGGCUCACCAAGGCGACGAUCCCUAGCUGGUCUGAGAGGAUGACCAGCCACACUGGAACUGAGACACGGUCCAGACUCCUACGGGAGGCAGCAGUGGGGAAUAUUGCACAAUGGGCGCAAGCCUGAUGCAGCCAUGCCGCGUGUAUGAAGAAGGCCUUCGGGUUGUAAAGUACUUUCAGCGGGGAGGAAGGUGUUGUGGUUAAUAACCGCAGCAAUUGACGUUACCCGCAGAAGAAGCACCGGCUAACUCCGUGCCAGCAGCCGCGGUAAUACGGAGGGUGCAAGCGUUAAUCGGAAUUACUGGGCGUAAAGCGCACGCAGGCGGUCUGUCAAGUCGGAUGUGAAAUCCCCGGGCUCAACCUGGGAACUGCAUUCGAAACUGGCAGGCUUGAGUCUUGUAGAGGGGGGUAGAAUUCCAGGUGUAGCGGUGAAAUGCGUAGAGAUCUGGAGGAAUACCGGUGGCGAAGGCGGCCCCCUGGACAAAGACUGACGCUCAGGUGCGAAAGCGUGGGGAGCAAACAGGAUUAGAUACCCUGGUAGUCCACGCCGUAAACGAUGUCUACUUGGAGGUUGUGCCCUUGAGGCGUGGCUUCCGGAGCUAACGCGUUAAGUAGACCGCCUGGGGAGUACGGCCGCAAGGUUAAAACUCAAAUGAAUUGACGGGGGCCCGCACAAGCGGUGGAGCAUGUGGUUUAAUUCGAUGCAACGCGAAGAACCUUACCUGGUCUUGACAUCCACAGAAGAAUCCAGAGAUGGAUUUGUGCCUUCGGGAACUGUGAGACAGGUGCUGCAUGGCUGUCGUCAGCUCGUGUUGUGAAAUGUUGGGUUAAGUCCCGCAACGAGCGCAACCCUUAUCCUUUGUUGCCAGCGGUUAGGCCGGGAACUCAAAGGAGACUGCCAGUGAUAAACUGGA
rnacentral:rRNA from 1 species